UAUUUUCGGCAAUCGUUGACA
rnacentral:piRNA from 1 species